rnacentral:rRNA from 1 species
UGGGGAAUUUUGGACAAUGGACGCAAGUCUGAUCCAGCCAUGCCGCGUGCGAGAAGAAGGCCUUCGGGUUGUAAACCGCUUUUGUCAGGGAAGAAACGAGUUUCUCUAAUACAGAGACUUAAUGACGGUACCUGAAGAAUAAGCACCGGCUAACUACGUGCCAGCAGCCGCGGUAAUACGUAGGGUGCAAGCGUUAAUCGGAAUUACUGGGCGUAAAGCGUGCGCAGGCGGUUAUGCAAGACAGAUGUGAAAUCCCCGGGCUCAACCUGGGAACUGCAUUUGUGACUGUAUAGCUAGAGUACGGCAGAGGGGGAUGGAAUUCCGCGUGUAGCAGUGAAAUGCGUAGAUAUGCGGAGGAACACCGAUGGCGAAGGCAAUCCCCUGGGCCUGUACUGACGCUCAUGCACGAAAGCGUGGGGAGCAAACA